rnacentral:rRNA from 1 species
UUCCUACGGGGCGCAGCAGUGGGGAAUAUUGCACAAUGGGGGAAACCCUGAUGCAGCAACGCCGCGUGAGUGAAGAAGUAUUUCGGUAUGUAAAGCUCUAUCAGCAGGGAAGAAGAAAGACGGUACCUGACUAAGAAGCCUCGGCUAACUACGUGCCAGCAGCCGCGGUAAUACGUAGGGGGCAAGCGUUAUCCGGAUUUACUGGGUGUAAAGGGAGCGUAGACGGCACAGCAAGUCUGAAGUGAAAGCCCGUGGCUCAACCGCGGAACUGCUUUGGAAACCGUUAAGCUGGAGUACUGGAGAGG